AUACGGAGGGUGCAAGCGUUAUUCGGAAUCACUGGGCGUAAAGGACGCGUAGGCGGGUUUGUAAGUCAGGUGUGAAAUCCUACAGCUUAACUGUAGAACUGCACUUGAAACUACAGACCUAGAGUAUGGGAGGGGCAGAUGGAAUUAGUGGUGUAGGGGUAAAAUCCGUAGAUAUCACUAGGAAUACCGAAAGCGAAGGCGAUCUGCUGGAACAUAACUGACGCUAAGGCGUGAAAGCGUGGGGAGCAAACAGGAUUAGAAACCCCAGUAGUCC
rnacentral:rRNA from 1 species